rnacentral:rRNA from 1 species
UUUAUGGAGAGUUUGAUCCUGGCUCAGGACGAACGCUGGCGGCGUGCCUAAUACAUGCAAGUCGAGCGGAUCUUACCCUUCGGGGUAAGGUUAGCGGCGGACGGGUGAGUAACACGUAGGUAACC